rnacentral:rRNA from 1 species
GACGAACGCUGGCGGCGUGCUUAAUACAUGCAAGUCGAACGGAAAGGCCCUGCUUUUGUGGGGUGCUCGAGUGGCGAACGGGUGAGUAACACGUGAGUAACCUGCCUUUGACUUUGGGAUAACUUCCGGAAACUGGGGAUAAUACCGGCUAGGAGAUCCUGCUGCAUGGUGGGGGUUGGAAAGUUUCGGCGGUUGGGGAUGGCUUCGCGGCUUAUCAGCUUGUUGGUGGAGUAGUGGCUGACCAAGGCCGCGACGGGUAGCCGGCCUGAGAGGGUGACCGGCCACAUUGGGACUGAGGGACGGCCCAGACUGCAACGGGAGGCAGCAGGGGGAAAUAUUGCGCAAUAGGCGGAAGCCAGAUGCAGCAACGCCGCGUGCGGGAUGACGGCCUUCGGGGUAUAAACCGCUUUCGCCUGUGACGAAGCGUGAGUGACGGUAAUUAGUAAGGAAGCACCGGCUAACUACGUG